rnacentral:lncRNA from 1 species
UGUUGGCAUAGGUUACAUCAUGUGUCUACCCCCGCUAUAUAUGAGAGGCCUAGGAUUUAAGUGUCCUGUUUGGACACGACUCCAUAUCCUAUCUAAACACAAUACAACUCAGAGUCCAACUGUAACCUACCGUGUACACAAUAUUCGACACAACUCUAACAAACUCCACCUUGGCGAAUACUCUCCACCAUCUUGAAUUCGUCUAUGCGUCAAACUUCCAUGUACAUUGGACUUGAGCUUAUCCAUGAGCACCGCUGCUACUCCAAAGACUCCAUGUGACUCCACCUUCAACUUGUAGUUCCUUCUUUUCCAGACCAUAGUCAACGCUCGAAUGAAAUUAAGCUCCACAUUACUCUAGUUGAGCUCCCAACUUCCAGAGUAUCCAACACCAUCACACACCGAUCACUGACCUGCGUGAAAGUGAACAACUCAUAUUGGGUGUCGCAGAUAAGAGUUACCUGAACUCAACAUCAUCGCUCUUCCUUGACCGCCCGUCUGAAACUUGAAGAAAUUUCACCAUUGCUUGUAGUCAUCCCGAGUCAAAUUUGCAGUUGUCUCACCACAUGUAUGACCACCAGAGCCCUGGCCUGUCUCCAUGUCCCGUGCGUACUGCACGCCUCUCCGCUAUUACCGCAUCGAGCCUCCGUUGUCCCGAUCGAGUCUCGAGGGUCGCGAACCCACACCGCUCAACCCCCACUGCAGAGUACCACCGAUCAUCACCGACCGAUGACGAGUUUCACGCUUCCAUCAGACCACUGGGCUCCAGUCCGAACCACAUGUCACUCGCUUUUUUCCCGCUGAAUAGGCUGCGAUCUCCGGAUCCUUACACUAUAGCCCCUCAAUCUAGCUCCACCUUCAACAUGACUCCAUGGUAGAUGAUCAAUCCACCCCACGCCUCGUCGACUUCAAGCUCCGUGUAUACAUCACCUUGAAUCAACCCCGCGUCAUAGUCUUGUCGAAGCCACACAAGCCCUAGAGCCCGCGCCCCGUGUUUCCACGCCCAGAAGUCGGUCACCAUCGGCAUCACGGUCUUAUGUCGUCGUCGCCGAAAUCACCGCCUCUUCUGCUUUGACCAACAUUCUCGUCGAUCCGUCAGACUGUCCAGUCAGACCCAGCCGAAAUUAACCGACUGCAACCAUGCUCCACCCUGCGUCGUGCCCUCCGCACAUCUCCAUGCAUUGCUUGACGCCCUGUGUUUACAUGAUCCUGCCAUGACGUGCUCCAGACUCCUCCUAGCCUUAUACGUACGUCGUCAUCCUUGCCACGCACCAGAGACAAUCACGCUACCAUCCUCGUACAAAAGCAUGUACAAAAGAAAUAAAAGCCAAAGUCCAGCAUAACCUUCCCGUGUGCACCUUAGUGUGAAAAUCCAUGUAAACUCCUCCAAAAACUCCACCACCACGUGCUCAUCUAGGCCUUAGGUCCAUUAGCUUUCCCUAUCUUUCCUCCGAUGGCUAGCUUCAGCCUCUUAUGUAGCCUUUUUAAUCCAACAAAUCCCAAAUGCACGAGCAAAUUUGCUUUCGGUCUUGCACCACGUCUGCACAUGCAGCCCCAUAGCAAUCACAUGCAUGCACCCAGCCUCUAGCACACCGAAGCCACCAGCAGGUCCUUUGCAAUCGAUGGUUGGUUCCAGCUGCGCGCACCGCGCCGCCUGCCCAGCCCGCACGCGGGGCCACGCCCAUCAGCAUCUCUUACCGCUUGCGCUGACCCUCUUGGGCUUUUGACCCUCUUGGGCUUUAGGCCGCUACUGCGGAAUCGUAACCGCCGCCAAGCCAAAGCCAAUCGCAUCUGUUGUUUCCGACGAUCUCGUCGAGACACCCGCAGCAGCACGUUCCGCUGCCUUCCGAUCUCGCCGAGUCCGGCCUCUAUACGUCGCUGCCACGAUCCGAUUACUUCUCGAGCAGAUAACCCAUUGAUCCUCGAUUCUUCUGUUCCAAAACUCGUCUAGAUCAACAACCACAACCUUCGAACAACCUAGCUCAUGAUACCACUUGUUAGAAUUAAUCCGAGGCACUUCGUCGAUCUACCGAGAACCAAGCAAUCACACAAAAGCACGACACCAAGAUUUGUUAACGAGGUUCACCGAUAUGGCUACAUCCCCGGGGCAAUGACUACGGGCGCUCCUCCCCAUGACACCGUCACAAUACCGCACCUCGACAGCCAGCCCGGGUGCCGGCACACGUCGUCGGCUCCCCCGCGUACCUGUGCUACUAUGUUGGCAUAGGUUACAUCAUGUGUCUACCCCCGCUAUAUAUGAGAGGCCUAGAAUAUAAGUGUCCUGUUUGGACACGAUUCCAUAUCCUAUCUAAACACAAUACAACUUAGAGUCCAACUGUAACCUACUGUGUACACAAU